UACGUAGGGUGCAAGCGUUAAUCGGAAUUACUGGGCGUAAAGCGUGCGCAGGCGGUUGUGCAGGACAGAUGUGAAAUCCCCGGGCUCAACCUGGGAACUGCAUUUGUGACUGCACAGCUAGAGUACGGUAGAGGGGGAUGGAAUUCCGCGUGUAGCAGUGAGAUGCGUAGAUAUGCGGAGGAACACCGAUGGCGAAGGCAAUCCCCUGGACCUGUACUGACGCUCAUGCACGAAAGCGUGGGGAGCAAACAGG
rnacentral:rRNA from 1 species